UGGUAUAUCCUUUGAAUUUUCUUUUGGAGUUUUCAAAUCAUCAUCUGUCUCAUUUUUUUCACAUCUAUCGAUAUCAAUUGAAACCUGAAAAACAUAUAAUUUUUAAAAAGAUAAAUAUAUAUAAAAUUUAAUAAAAUUUGAUGUGAUUAUAUUAAAAGUUACUUUUUGUGGAGCAUCAUGCUUCUCCUUCACAGCUAACAUCAUCUCUUCAUGUUGUUUUUUCAUUUCUUCAUGAUGUUUUUUCAUUAAUGCUUCAAUAUCAUCAAAUCUUUAGUCAACAGGCAUAAGUUUAACAGAAUAAAUUAGAUAUGUUAAGAUAACCAAUUUUAAAAAUAAAAAUUCAUGUUGCACUUACAUGUCUUGACUUAUCAAUUGCAUUCAUAUCAACUUUCAGCAAAAUUUGCUCAUGAUUGAUUCAGUGUGGACACACGCACACUUUCGACAACUGGUGGUGUCUGUUCGCCGAAAUCCAUUAAAGAUGAUUCAUGUGGAGCUUCUUCAUUGAUUGGCCAGCAUUUGAGUUUGAUGUGACAGAAGGUGAUUUAUUGACUUCUUUAUUAGAGGGGUGGGCUUUAAUAUUUUCUUGACCUGUCACCGAUUCUUUUCG
rnacentral:lncRNA from 1 species